AUCUCAUUUGUUCUCUCUUGCUAUAAGUCUUGCAUUUUUCUAACACCAAGGGCGGCUUCCAUUUUAUAUUCACAAGCUUCUUUUGUCCUAUUGCUUGCUCUCUUCCAUUAUAUAACUAGCUUAUCUCAAACCCCUUCUCUUCACCCCUUCACUUUAAGUUCUUGAGAUAAGCUAAGAGGGGUAAUUAAAGAUGAUCAAGUUAAGGUCAAAGAGGUUUUUCAGAGGAAGUUUCAAGCAUGGUGGUAAAGGAAGUGACAAAGCAGGGACUUGUGGAGGCCUGAGUGAAAUCAAAUGGGAGCUUAGGCCUGGAGGCAUGCUUGUUCAAAAAAGAGAAAGUGAAGAUAGUGUUGGAGAGUUGAUUACAGUUAGAGUCUCAACUCUUUCUCAAUAUCAUGACAUUUCCAUUGAAGCAACUUCAACUUUUGGGGAAUUGAAGAUGGUAUUGUCAUUGGUAAGUGGGUUGGAGCCAAGAGAGCAGAGGCUAUUGUUCAAAGGAAAAGAGAGAGAAGACAAUGAAUACUUACACAUGGUAGGUGUUAGGGACAAGGACAAGGUGUUCUUGUUAGAAGAUCCAGCAAUCAAGGAGAGGAAACUUCAUGACUUGGCAGGUGGAACUCCUUGUUGUACUAUAAGUGUAUAAUACUGAUUGAUUAAUUAAAAGAAUCUAUGAAUUAGUGUCCUUUUAUUACUAACCACCAAAAAAAAAUUGCCCUAAAAUGGUGAUGGGUUUAUCUUAGCUUGGCUAGAUGAGGG
rnacentral:misc_RNA from 1 species